rnacentral:tRNA from 1 species
GGUGGCUCAGUGGUAGAGUGCUUGCCUUGCAUGCACGAGACCCUGAGUUCCAUUCCUCAGCACCA